rnacentral:tRNA from 1 species
GCGGAUUUAGCUCAGUUGGGAGAGCGCCAGACUGAAGAAAUACUUUGGUCAAGUUAUCUGGAGGUCCUGUGUUCGAUCCACAGAAUUCGCA